GACGAACGCUGGCGGCGUGCUUAACACAUGCAAGUCGAACGGAAAGGCCCUGCUUUUGUGGGGUGCUCGAGAGGCGAACGGGUGAGUAACACGUGAGUAACCUGCCCUUGACUUUGGGAUAACUUCAGGAAACUGGGGCUAAUACCGGAGAGGAGCUCCUGCUGCAUGGUGGGGGUUGGAAAGAUUCGGCGGUUGGGGAUGGACUCGCGGCUUAUCAGCUUGUUGGUGGGGUAGUGGCUUACCAAGUCUUUGACGGGUAGCCGGCCUGGGAGGGUGGCCGGGCUCCUUGGGACUGCGAUACGGACCAGACUCCUACGGGAGGCAGCAGUGGGGAACAUUGCGCAAUGGGCGGAAGCCUGAUGCAGCAGCGCCGCGUGCGUGAUGACGGCCUUCUGGUUGUAAACCGCUUUCGCCUGUGACGAAGCGUGAUUGACGGUAAUGGGUAAAGAAGCACCGGCUAACUACGUG
rnacentral:rRNA from 1 species